AUUCCUUAGUGCCUCUGGUGAGUUUAGCUUUUAAGAAGCUAAAAUACUUAAGAGAAUUAUAUGUAAAUAUGAAAGUUUUAUAUUUAGUUUUAUUAAAGUUGUGUAUGUGCUUAUGGAGGUUUAUGGGGUUUGUAUGUCUGUUUUCUUAAGUGCUUGAGAUUCUUGAGGAAAUACAUUAUAUGAAAUAUGACUGCAGCUGGAAAAUUCACAAGAAUGUAAGUAACCAGGUCUGUAAAAUGUGUUUAAAUAUGUAAGAACGUUCAAAUUAUCGGAUUCACACGUUCAUUUAUUGAAUUAUAUACAUUUAAAGUAUGAGAUAGUUUUAUAUAUAGUAUCUAAAGGAUUACGCAAAUUUUGUUAAAGUAUAAGCUAACCUAACAAUAAGUACAAACUGCAUUUAAUUUCAAACUAAAAAUUCUUAGUUUACUAUAUUUUUGCAAUUGUGUUUAAAAGCUCAGAAAAAAUAAGUUUUUCAAUUUAUAACUGUAGGCGAUUGAAUGUCAGUGAUAACACAGGCUACUGUAAGCAUUGUUUUCUGUACACAAAAGCCUCUAUGAGAUUUAAAAAAAAAAAAAAGCCCAACUGAUGUCAGCCUGGGACGGAUCUGAGAAAUCUUUCUGAUGAAAGUGACUCUGAGGCUGGAAAUAAGGAAUCUGAAAAAGUUAGCCAGGAGAGAGGAAUAACAAUGUGUAGGGGAACACAGAAUUUCAGUCUUACUGGAAAUAAAGGAUCAAAGAGGAAUCCCUAGGGAGGCAGAUGUCACAACUCCUUAUUUGGAAAACUAUUCAAGGGGCAGCUAAAAACAGUUCUGCAAAGUGCUUCCCACUUCUAAAGCACCAUCGACAUACUUGGUAUGGUAAUAAUGAAUCUAACUGCCUAUUCCAGAACUCUCUGCUGUGAAGAGGCCGUGGUGGGCAAUGCCAAUUGGGAAACAAGGCUGUGGUUUGUGCCGCCUUCAGCAGAACCUGGUGCCAGCUCUGUGGCUCCGGAAACAGAGCUCAAUUGUAUCUUCCACUCCUCUCUCUUUUUAACCUAAUAAACUUUUCUGACAGGCAAUGGCACCACUCAGGCCUCACUGCCCAGUAGCCAUAUGAUCUCCAUCUGCACUGAGGUCAGCACAUAGGCAUAAAUGGAAGGAAGCAGAAAGCGUAUCAGGAGGAAACACAUGAAUGGAAUAAAAUGUAAACCAGACUUCUGUCCUGCCGUUGGCCCUCCCAGGCUACCAGAGACUCUUCCUCCUGGCUGACCUCUUCUACAGAGCCUUCUCCUACAUUCGCUGGGGAUCAACCACAGGAAGAAGAAGCUACAGAUGUUUCCUCAACAAAGCACUCUGAACAGAGCAGAGUAAUGCAGCUAUUCUGGACUUGGAACCAGAAGACCCAGCUUCACAUUCUGACAAAAGCACUGCCAUGCCAUGUCCCACAAAGAGAAAAUGCACCCACAAGCAGGGGAGGGGCAGAGAGAGAGAGAC